GGUCAAGCUACGAAGGGUCUAUGAGGGCUGACUUGGUUAUGCCAGGCGAUGAAGGGCGCGGUAAGCGGCGAUACUGCUCGGGGGAGCUGCAAACAAGCUUUGAUCCCGAGAUUUCCGAAUGGGGCAACCCAUCUUGAGUAAUGUCAAGAUACUUUAGCCUAAAAUUUAAAAUAGGGCUAAGGAGCGACACCUAGAGAACUGAAACAUCUAAGUAUCUAGAGGAAUAGAAAACGAAAGUGAUUUCCCCAGUAGCGGCGAGCGAAAAGGAAAAAGCCUAAACCCUGCCGCAAGGCAGGGGGUUGUGGGACUUUAAUGUGGUAGGUGAGGGAGUAGCUGAAGUGCAUGGAAAGGCACGCGAUACAGAGUAAAAGCCUCGUAUGCGAAAUUCCCAAACCGCCUAGAAGUAUCCCAAGUACUACGGGACACGUGAAACCCUGUAGGAAUCCAGGCCGACCAUGGCCUAAGGCUAAAUACUCGGCAUAAACCGAUAGCGCACAAGUACCGUGAGGGAAAGUUGAAAAGAACCCCGGUUAGGGGAGUGAAAUAGAACCUAAAAUCAUAGACCUACAAGCUGUUGAAGGGCUAUGCUCCGCUCGUAAGAGCGGAGAAUGCCUGACAGCGUACCUUUUGUAUAAUGGUCCGGCGAGUUGCUGUGUGGUGCAAGCUUAAGCCUUUCAUUAAUAGUGGAUGGCGACGGCGAAGCGAAAGCGAGUUCUAACAGAGCGAUUAAGUACCAUAUAGCAGACCCGAAACUGAGUGAUCUACCCAUGGCCAGAGUGAGCCUCGACGAAAGUCGGGGGGAGGCUCGAACCCAUCGGCGUUGAAAAACCGUGGGAUGAGUUGUGGGUUGGAGUGAAAGGCUAAACAAACUCAGAAAUUGCUGGUUCUCCUCGAAAUAGUUUUAGGACUAGCCUUGUGUUAACUACAUAGCGGGGGUAGAGUGCUGAAUGGACUAGGGACCUCACCAGGUUACCAAAUCCAACCAAACUCCGAAUACCGCUAUGACUAUCACAGGAGUAAGACGGUGGGGGCUAAGCUUCAUCGUCAAAAGGGAAACAGCCCAGAUCUCCAGCUAAGGUCCCUAAGUAUAGGCUAAGUGGUAAAGGAUGUGAGAUCGCUAAGACAAUCAGGAUGUUGGCUCAGAGGCAGCCAUCAUUUAAAGAGUGCGUAACAGCUCACUGGUCGAGCGAUUUUGCGCCGAAGAUAAUCGGGGCUUAAGCCUAUUACCGAAGCUGAGAAUUUAUCCGGAAUUCGUUUCGGAUAUCUGGUAGAGGAGCGUUCUGUCCUACAUUGAAGGCGUACCGUAAGGAGCGCUGGAGGAGACAGAAGUGAAUAUGUCGGAAUGAGUAGCGAAAACACCUGCGAGAAACAGGUGCACCGAAAGCCUAAGGUUUCCUGGGGAAGGUUAAUCCACCCAGGGUUAGUCGAUCCUAAGCUGAGGCUAUAAAAGCGUAAGCGAUGGAAGUGCCGUUAAUAUUCGGCAACCGGCUAAAUAGCGUUUGAACUAAUAAGUGACGCGGAAGGCAGGAGUCGGCCGAGUUUUGGAUGUCUCGGUUUUUGUCCCGGGGACGGGAUGAAGGGACCCGGAGGUUUCCGAAGGGGAAGUGAUUUUAUGCCAUACUGCCAAGAAAAGCUUAUUAGUGAGCUGUUUAGCUGCUCGUACCACAACCCGACACAGGUAGGCUUCCUGAGAAUGGUAAGGUGCUCGAGAGAACCCUCGUUAAGGAACUCGGCAAUCUAGCCUCGUAACUUCGGGAUAAGAGGUACCUCAGAUGGUCAGUUCAUUAGAAUAAAGCUGUCUGAGGUCACAGUAAAGUGGCCCGUGUGACUGUUUAGUAAAAACACAGCACUCUGCGAACUCGAAAGAGGAUGUAUAGGGUGUGAUACCUGCCCGGUGCUGGAAGGUUAACGAGAGCUGUCAGCCCGCCGCAAGGCGAGGUGAAGCGGCGAACCGAAGCCCCAGUAAACGGCGGCUGUAACUAUAACAGUCCUAAGGUAGCGAAAUUCCUUGUGGGGUAAGUUCCCACGCGCACGAAUGGUUUAACAACAUGGGCGCUGUCUCGACGAGGGUCUCGGCGAAAUUGUAGUGGCGGUGAAGAUGCCGUCUACCCGCAUCAAGACGAAAAGACCCCAGAACCUUUACUGUAGCCUGGUAUUGGAUUUUGGUUCAAUUUGCGUAGUAUAGGUGGGAGGCUUUGAGGCCUUGGUUUUGGCUGAGGCGGAGCCGCAAUGUGAAAUACCACCCUUGUUGAAUUAAGAUUCUAACUUCGACCUCUAUAUCGAGGCGGGAGACAGUUCCAGGCGGGCAGUUUGACUGGGGCGGUUCCCCUCUAAAAAGUAACGAGGGGGUUCCAAGGUUGGCUCACUGCGGUCGGCAAUCGCAGGUGGAGUGCAAAAGCAUAAGCCAGCUUAACUGCGCCUCCGACAGGAGAAGCAGAUACGAAAGUAGGAUUUAGUGAUCCGGUGGUAGAAUAUGGGAUCGCCAUCGCUCAACGGAUAAUAGGUACUCUGGGGAUAACAGGCUGAUCGCGCUCGAGAGUUCACAUCGACAGCGCGGUUUGGCACCUCGAUGUCGGCUCAUCGUAUCCUGGGGCUGGAUAAGGUCCCAAGGGUCCGGCUGUUCGCCGGUUAAAACGGUACGCGAGCUGGGUUUAGAACGUGGAUAACACUGCGUUUUUCCGUAGUAAUGCGGAAAUAGUAUUGACUUAUAUCGGUGGAGCCCGACUUACACAUACCGAACGUGUAAAGGGUAAUACCGAGGGAAGAUUAUAGAUGGAAGAAACGACCAAUGCGUAUAUUGCCGGUUUUCUUGACGGCGAUGGAAGCAUAAUGUUUCAGCUUAUUGAGCGCAAGGGCUACAUCUAUGGCUACCAGAUAAGGGCAAGUGUCUGCUUCUAUCAGAAGACUAACCAUAAAGACGGUUUAAUAUGGUUAAAAAAGCAAAUUGGUUUCGGGUAUAUACGAGACCGAAAUGACGGUGUAAGCGAUUACACGAUAGUUGGCUACGAUAGAGUAGAAGAAGUCUUGAAAUUGGUACAGCCAUAUGUAGUGUUCAAAGCUGUUCAUGCUGAGAAAGCAUUAAAGCUUUUAAGUAUGAUAAGAGAAAACAAUAAGCCAACUCCGGAGAAAUUCAUGAGUUUGGCAAAACUGGUUGAUUCUUACGCAAGCCUUAACUAUUCAAAAAAGAAAAUAAAUAACGCGAAAAAAGUAGAAGAAUUUUUGAAUAGAAAGGGUCUAUUAAUCCCCGUAACGACUGAUUCCUGUAAUAAGGAUGAGAUGGUUCUCAGUUCAUAAGAGCCAUAAUACGUCAACUCCUAGAAAUAGGAUGGAGAUAUAGUCUGUGCCACUGGUAACAGUGGAAUUAACAUGCGUGAGACAGUUCGGUCUCUAUCUGAUGUGGGUGUAAGGAUACUUGAAGAGGAGCUCCCUAUAGUACGAGAGGACCUGGGGAGACGGACCUCUAGUGUUUCAGUUGUCCUGCCAAGGGCAGAAGCUGAGUAGCUAUGUUCGGAAGGGAUAAGCGCUGAAAGCAUAUAAGCGCCAAGCCCCCCUCAAAAAUAGGUAUCCCUGUUUUGCAGCAAUGCAAGACUGAAGGCUGGCCGGAGACUACGGC
rfam:Omnitrophica WOR_2 bacterium RIFOXYB2_FTLL_45_11 rifoxyb2_full_scaffold_5938, whole genome shotgun sequence.